rnacentral:tRNA from 1 species
ACCUGGGUGGCUCAGUCAAUUGAGCGUCCGACUUGAGCUCAGAUCAUGAUCUCGCAGUUCGUGAGUUCAAGCCCCACAUCAGGUU